rnacentral:misc_RNA from 1 species
AUGCAAUCCACUCUUCCAAGAAAUUAAACAUCAUAACACACACCCAUAAUCCUUUUCAUUUCUCAUCUCUGCUGAGAGCCACAAACGCACGACAAGCUUUUGGAUAUGGCUUGCAAUAUUCAAAUUUCUUCCUUUAAUCAAACUUGUUUCUUUAAUAGACAAGUAAAAGAUUUAUGUCCAGCCAUUAAGCUUAAGACAUCUAAGAGAAAUACCAGAAAUGCCCAUGUAGCUUGUGCUCAACUUUUGCCUAUGGAAAAUACUCCCAACUCCAGAAAAUUGGACCUCAACAAACCAAUGAUGGGAACACAGCAAGUUCCCAUUAAUGUGCCAGCAAUCAUCUCUGGAAAAUUUGGGAGGUUUGGAGGCAAGUUCGUGCCUGAGACUCUCAUUGCAUGCUUGAAGGAGCUUGAAGCUGAAUUCAACUGGGCCUUAGAGGACCCUGAGUUUCAGGUUUGUCAAUUCAGAAUAGGAUUUAAUUAAUUAAUUAACUAAUUAUCUUUUCCAUAAUUACCAUAUAAGAAAAAAAUGCGUGUUAUUUUUGCAGAAUGAACUUCAAACAGUACUAAGAGACUACAUAGGAAGGGAGACACCUCUGUACUUUGCAGAGCGGCUCACAAAUCACUACAAGAAUGAAGAUGGACAUGGACCAGAAAUUUACUUGAAGAGAGAAGAUCUCAACCACUGCGGAGCACACAAAUUGAAUAAUGCGAUUGCUCAGGCGAUGAUUGCCAAACGCAUGGGUCUGAAAAGUGUUGUGGCGGCCACUGGGGCUGGACAACAUGGAGUUGCAACUGCGGCUGCAUGUGCCAAGCUUUCUUUGGAGUGUACUGUUUUCAUGGGCAUUUCAGAUAUGGAGAAACAAAACUCAAACGUACUCUUGAUGAAACUAUUAGGAGCUGAGGUUAAAGGUGUGGAAGGAAAUUUUAAAGAUGCAAGUUCACAGGCAAUCAGGGAAUGGGUGGGAAAUUUACAGACAACCUAUUACUUGACAGGUACUGUAGUGGGGCCUCAUCCUUGUCCAAGCAUGGUCCGCGAGUUCCAGUCAGUGAUAGGAAAGGAAACGCGGAGGCAAGCGAUGGAGAAAUGGGGUGGCAAGCCAGAUGUCCUGCUUGCCUGUGUAGGGAGUGGAUCUAAUGCACUGGGGAUAUUCCACGAAUUCAUAGGAGAUGAAGAUGUGAGGUUGAUAGGAGUUGAGGCUGCUGGGUUUGGUUUAGAUAGUGGGAAACAUGCUGCUACUCUGGCUAGAGGAGAAGUGGGAGUUUACCAUGGAGCCAUGAGCUACUUGUUGCAGGAUGAGGAAGGCCAGAUAAUAGGGCCACACUCUAUUGGUGUGGGGCUAGAAUACCCAGGAGUUAGCCCAGAACUAAGCUUUCUUAAAGACACAGGACGUGCAGAGUUUUAUUCUGCAACAGAUGAAGAAGCUGUAGAAGCAUACAAAAGGCUUAGCAGAAUAGAGGGUAUAAUUCCAUCUCUGGAGGCAUCUCAUGCAUUGGCAUUUCUGGAGAAACUUUGUCCAACUUUACCCAGUGGCACUAAGGUCAUAGUAAACUGCAGUGGUCGUGGAGAUAAAGAUGCUGCAACUGUCUUAAACUACCAACAAUAUUCAAUGUAAACUGUAGAUGGUAAAUAAGCAUUCAUUCCGCUGCGAAAUAAUAAAAGGCUAACUUCAUGAGGCGUGAAGGAAAUGAUGAAUUUUAACUUCAUAUUAUCAUUGUAUCAAUGCUUGAGUAUCUCAAAUUAAG